rnacentral:rRNA from 1 species
AUGAACGCUGGCGGCGUGCCUAAUACAUGCAAGUCGAGCGAACAGACGAGGAGCUUGCUCCUCUGACGUUAGCGGCGGACGGGUGAGUAACACGUGGAUAACCUACCUAUAAGACUGGGAUAACUUCGGGAAACCGGAGCUAAUACCGGAUAAUAUAUUGAACCGCAUGGUUCAAUAGUGAAAGGCGGUUUUGCUGUCACUUAUAGAUGGAUCCGCGCCGCAUUAGCUAGUUGGUAAGGUAACGGCUUACCAAGGCAACGAUGCGUAGCCGACCUGAGAGGGUGAUCGGCCACACUGGAACUGAGACACGGUCCAGACUCCUACGGGAGGCAGCAGUAGGGAAUCUUCCGCAAAGGGCGAAAGCCUGACGGAGCAACGCCGCGUGAGUGAUGAAGGUCUUCGGAUCGUAAAACUCUGUUAUUAGGGAAGAACAAAUGUGUAAGUAACUAUGCACGUCUUGACGGUACCUAAUCAGAAAGCCACGGCUAACUACGUG